rnacentral:lncRNA from 1 species
UAAACCUAGCACUUCUAUUAUGACCCUAGAAAAAAGAAGCGUAGUAUCUUGAUCAUAUUUAUAUGUUCCACAAUGCUCUUCCUCAACUCCCUUUCACCUUCAAACGCAUCCAUGAGGAUUUGGCAGUAGUUUCCGUUCAUAUAUCUUGGGUAUAGCUGUGCCAUGGUACACCCUGCACACAGUUGAAACAAUCACAUAUCAGCUUAACAUAACUUAUAUCAAUUUAAACGGAAAAGCAAAAUUUUUAACAAUUAAGAUGCAUGCAUCAACCUCAAUAUGCAGUGUAACUUGACAUCAAAGACUGGACAGAAAAGAAAGUGAUCUAUGGCUAGCUAAAACCUAAAACCAUAUAUAUCACUGUUUCAUUUGGUAUUAAGAAAGUAAAAAACAUGACAAGUUAGCGACCUACAACAAAUCUAUCAAGUCAAUAGUGUUUAGUUUGAGUAGGAUGCUCCUUAUGAUAGCAAUUGAAAGCACCUGCUUCUGUCCUCAUAGCACUUAAAUUCCUAAUCUAUAUUAUUAUAGUUUCCAUGACAGUCUUGGAACUUUCUUUGCAACUACAAGCAUAACAUUUCAGAGCUGUAAAUAACUAUAUAUGAAUAACCUCUAACACAAAAACAGUUAUUCAGGACCAUUAAAAUUGUAUAAUUACUCAACUUAACCUAAAAUGAAAUGUAGUUAAGAGCAAAAGCAAUUAAAAUUCACUUGUACAAGCACUGUAGUCAAGACAAAAAUCAGAAAUCUAAACUUUACUUCCAAGGCUCUCAUCUGCAACGAAUGUAGCACAGAGCAAAAUUAAUCGAUCCUAACAUGAAAAGCUUGCAUACGAUUAUAAUAUGAAUUUUAUAACUCAGAGGCUAAUGUUGAAACAUCACAAUUAUACCUGUGAGAAUUAGGAAGGCAUACCAGAAACAAGUUGAUACAUAAAAACAAGAAUAACUCACUGAUUGUUGAGGCAAUCAUGGAAUAAAGGAGUUCUAAACUCCUAGCACACAAGACCAACAAUUCAACAACAACUCAACGCAGAACAACCAACAUAGUAAUGCCACAGCAACAAGAGAGGUCGAGACUUACCAUCUGUUUCUCCAAAUCAAUGAACCAGACAAAGUCUGAACCUCCUCCUUGCUUAACCAAGACCAAAUCGGAGAAUCAACAUAAGAACAUGGAUCCUCCCCUCGCUAGAAAGCCACUGCCUCAACCCAGAACCGCCCGCUACUUCCACAACGCCACUUAAACGUACUUCGGCUCCAUUAAAACACGAUAGGACUCCCUAGAAGUCGACGAGGUCGUCGGAAAACUUUGACCAAAACCCAGAAAUACAAAAGAAAAGAAAAUCAGAUUAGGGCUUUAUUUAGGGAAAUCAAAGCUCAAGGAGGAGUGAAAACGAGAGAGAAGUGAUGGGUUUAUACGGAGCACGAGUUCGCCAGAGAGGGAGAAAUUCGAUCGGAAAUUGGAUUUGGGGAUUUAGGGUUUGGAUUUCAAUCUUGAGAAGGCGGUGGAUGCAUGUCAAUCGGUGAUUAGGAGGAGGUAGAGGAGAGGGAGACGAGCUAAAUGGUAGUAUAGAGAGAGAGAGAGAGAGAGAGAGAGAGAGAGAGGCAGAGAGGAACGCGCAAGGGAAAGAGAGGAAAGUACGACUAGGGUUCCAUUUCCUUUAUAUACAUAGUUUCAUACUUAUGCGGCGAAACGACGUGUUUGUCCCUGCGGUUUAGGGUUUAGGGUUCUCUUUUAUGAAAAUUGAUUGUAGAUGCGAUCAUAGAACUUUAAUUUCGAUUAUCAUAUAAUUGAUCCAUCAUCACAAACCUUGAACCAUGUAUACACUAGAUGUGAGAUGUGACUAUUGCUAGAUCAUCAUAAACUCUAAACUAUAUAUACAUGAGAGGUGAUUUGUACUCGAUCAUCAUAAACCGUAAACCAUGCCAACGUUAAGACAUUACUUGAUAUUAAUGGCUGAUCAUCAUAAACCUUAUAUACAUCAAAGGUGACUAGUGCUUGAUUAUCAUAUAUCAAGUAUACACUAGAGGUGAUCGACUAUUGAUCGAUCAUCACAAAUCUUGAACCAUGCAUACACUAGAGGUGACUAUUACUUGAUCAUCAUAAACCUUAAAGUAUAUAUACAUUAGAGGUUAUUUAUACUCGAUCAUCAGAAAUCGUUAACCAUAUGCCAAAAUUAGGGUGACUAUGCUCAAUCAUCAUAAACCCUAUAUACACUAGAGGUGACUUGUAACAUCCCGAAUUUUGAAAUUUCUCAAAAUGUGUUUUUCUUUUUAGA